CUGCUAUAGUACUAUUGCAAUAUCUACAUACCGAGGGCCUCGCCACCGCGCACCGGUCGUCUAAGCAGCAGCUGAUCGCGCGGUGAAGUCGAGCAGGAUACGUGCGUAAACAUAGGUCGCUGCGUCGACAGCGACGCGAUGUGUAUUUAAUCUAUACUCGCUCCACCGAGAGAACGCGCCGCAGACUGACCAAAAUCGAUUUUUCUGUGCAUCCCCAAACGUCAAGCUGCCAUAGGGAAACUGGUUUCGAUAGCAGGAAGGACGAAGGUGCAGGAGGAUGCGUAGAAUCGGCGUAUUCUCUCGCUGGAUAGACUACCUACACCGCGCUUAUAAAAUAAAAUACUGUCUCUUAUUUAAAACCAAUAAGUAAGUUAUCGUAAACCGUAAACCUAUUUAAUGUUUAUUAUUUAUUCGUCGCCAAAUUGUUAUAUUUACGGGCUACGGGCUACAGAAUAAAUUAAACAGAAUUUCUUUCAUUUCAAUAGUCAUUUUCAUAACAUAAUAAUUCUCUUGAGCCAAGAAGAAUGAUGCAGACAAGGUCCAAAUAGUUGAAAUUGUAAGUCUAAUGAAGUCCAACUGUAAUUUAAUUUAAAUUUUAAAU